GAUGAACGCUAGCUACAGGCUUAACACAUGCAAGUCGAGGGGCAGCAUGGUCUUAGCUUGCUAAGGCCGAUGGCGACCGGCGCACGGGUGAGUAACACGUAUCCAACCUGCCGUCUACUCUUGGACAGCCUUCUGAAAGGAAGAUUAAUACAAGAUGGCAUCAUGAGUCCGCAUGUUCACAUGAUUAAAGGUAUUCCGGUAGACGAUGGGGAUGCGUUCCAUUAGAUAGUAGGCGGGGUAACGGCCCACCUAGUCUUCGAUGGAUAGGGGUUCUGAGAGGAAGGUCCCCCACAUUGGAACUGAGACACGGUCCAAACUCCUACGGGAGGGAGCAGUGAGGAAUAUUGGGCAAUGGGCGAGAGCCUGAACCAGCCAAGUAGCGUGAAGGAUGACUGCCCUAUGGGUUGUAAACUUCUUUUAUAAAGGAAUAAAGUCGGGUAUGGAUACCCGUUUGCAUGUACUUUAUGAAUAAGGAUCGGCUAACUCCGUG
rnacentral:rRNA from 1 species